rnacentral:lncRNA from 1 species
UACUCCAUUGAGGGGGAGAAGGGAAUUGCCUCCAUUUUGAUUUAUGCUCUGUUUUUUCCCCAUCUCUGUGGUUUUAUCUACCUUUGGUCUUUGAUGAUGAUGACGUACAGAUGGGUUUUUGGUGUGGAUGUCCUUUCUGUUUGUUAGUUUUGCUUCUAACAGACAGGACCCUCAGCUGCAGGUCUUUUGGAGUUUGCUGGAGGUCCACUCCAGACCCUGUUUGCCUGGGUAUCAGCAGCGGAGGCUGCAGAACAGCGGAUAUUUGUGAACAGCAAAUGUUGCUGCCUGAUCAUUCCCCUGGAAGUUUUGUCUCAGAGGACUACCCGGCCGUGUGAGGUGUCAGUCUGCCCCU